rnacentral:misc_RNA from 1 species
GAUGAAGAACGUAGCGAAAUGCGAUACGUAAUGUGAAUUGCAGAAUUCAGUGAAUCAUCGAGUCUUUGAACGCACAUUGCGCCCCCUGGUAUUCCGAGGAGCAUGCCUGUUUGAGUGUCAUUUAACUUCUCAACCACAUUGGAUAUUUUUUUUCCGAUGCCGGCUUGGAUGUGGGGGUUGUUUGCAGGCUUUUUGUAACAAAAAAGGUCGGCUCCCCUGAAAUGUAUUAGUGGUAUCUGAGGCUAUUACUAUUAGGUGUGAUAAUUAUCUAUGCCUUUUGGGUAUGCCGCAUGAACAGAUUAUGCUGCUUCUAACGAAAACUAUUUUGAUGAAUUUGACCUCAAAUCAGGUAGGACUACCCGCUGAACUUAAGCAUAUCAAUAAGCGGAGGA